AUUGAUUUUCUUGAAAUUUUGUCUCAUGAAAAGGAGAUUAUAAACAUUUAAUAUUUUGGAUAAUGCUAUCAUUAAAGUGUUUUAAUUGAAUUGUUCUACGGAAUGUUCUGGGACAGUUCAUCUCACAGCUCCUGAAUUUAUGGUUCGUUACAAUUAUCACAAUUGUAACUCUCUUGUUCAAGUACAUAAUUUUGUAUAUUCUUGACUUUGAUUUGUUUUUGGUGCAAAUUUUCCUUUUGAAUGUAAAUACUUGACAUGCGUUUCGGACGCAACACAAUGUAAGUGUUAUAUUCAUUAGAAAAUGAUAAAUACUGAGAAAGCUAAAAUAAAAUGUAUAAUUAUCUAAAUAAAGUACUUAACUUUGAUAACUGUUCCUUUUGUCAUCGUUAAGUAUUGUAAGUGGAUAUACUUAGUGGGUGUCGAGCACUUGAGUAUUACUUUAAGGUGGUACCUAACACUUUCACUUAAAUUAAUUGGGCGAGUUUAAUUUGAUAAAAUUUUGACAAAGUAUUUACUUUGACCCUUUAACAAAAAUAUAAAAAUUUCAAAAAUUUUUAACCAACCGUUUUGUCAGAAUAAUUACACUGGUUAUAUAGCAGUUUGAGAAACACCAAUUUUAAUCUUUCAAAAGCUUAUUAUUCCCUUUACAACACAACGUAAUUAAAACGUUUAGCUGAUUUUACAGAGUUAUCUCCCUGUAGUGUUAGGUACCACCUUAAACGAGACAUCCUUUAAGAAAAAUUAACGU
rnacentral:lncRNA from 1 species